rnacentral:rRNA from 1 species
AACGAACGCUGGCGGCAUGCCUAACACAUGCAAGUCGAACGAGACCUUCGGGUCUAGUGGCGCACGGCUGCGUAACGCGUGGGAACCUGCCCUUAGGUUCGGAAUAAUUCAGAUAAAUUUGAGCUAAUACCGGAUGAUGUCUUCGCACCAAAGAUUUACCGCCUUUAGAUGGGCCCGCGUUGGUUUAGCGGGUUGGUGGGGUAAAGGCGUGCCAAGGCGAUGGUCCAUAGCUGGUCGGAGAGGAUGCUCAGCCACGCUGGGACUGAGACACGGACCAGACUGCUACGGGACGGAGGAGUGGGGAAUAUUAGACGAGGGGCGAAGACGUGAUCCAGCAAUGCCGCGGGAGUGGUGAAGGCCUUAGGGUUGUAAAGCUCUUUUACCCGAGAUGAUAAUGACGGUAUCGGGAGAAUAAGCUCCGGCUAACUCCGUG